GAGCGACCUCAUGUCACUCAAACCAGCUGUAUUAAGGAAGGUGCAAGCUUUUGGGAUUUCUGUUUGGAUUUAGUUUAGGUUCAAAAGAGCACGCACAGAUCCUGAGUGUUGUCAAGCACCCGUGACUGGGAAACGGAGGCGUCCGAUCCGUAUUGGAGUCAAUUCGCCACUUAAUUGAACACAGCCUCGAAGGGAAGGGCCAUAUUUGUGGGCCUGUCUAACAAUUAAGAGUGACCACAUGGAAUGGGGGAUGAAAGGGUUAAAGAAGAACAAAUAUUGAACACAGCUUUUCUAUGAACAAACUGCAGGCAGCUGCUGCUUUGCAAGUUUCAGGGGUUACUCCAUCAUUAUCAUGGCAGGGAACAUGGCAGGAUGCAGGCAGAUGGUAGCUGAGAGUUCUACAUCUGGAUCCACAGGAAGCAGUUGAUUGAGAAUAAUGGUUCUGUUUUGGAGGUUGAUGGAAGAUGCCCUUUGGCCAGGAAAACAGCUCAUGCUUUUAGAGGAGGAUAAUUGCCAGAAGGCCUCUCUGAAUAAAAAAAAAUCCUGACCUCACAGCCUUUGCGCUUACUUGGGUUAGAAUGCCACAGUGAACAUUGCCCCUUGUCAUCACGUAGAGGUGCUCACAGAAAAACCCUUUGAAAAGAUUCAGCACGUUGCCAUGGAGAACAUCCCACUGAAGGAAUGUAUAGAAGUAGCAGGGUUAACUGAGUGCCUUCCAUCUUCCCUCCAAGGGAUCUGCAAUGAGAUGGGAGAAGGCAACAGGCUGUGUGGGAACCACUGAAGCUGGGAUGGCAGGGAAAGAACAUCUUAGGCUAACUCUUCAAGCCUUGCUGUCACAUUUGCUUUUGAGUCUAUGGUGUCAGCUGCCUACCAGUUGCUUUCAUCUCUAGAAAUCUGUGACUUGCAGUAUGACAAGAACAAAAGGUGACAAUACAAAGGACAAAGGGCAAGGAAUACAGACGGAGAAGCCGCUUAGAGUCUAGGAUGGCAGAGGUUCUCUUGAUCAUUUCAUUUUUGAGCGCUUGUAGAGCUUUGGUGUACCAGAGGUGCUUGAACAGCUUACCACACCACAGAUGAAUGGCCUUUGGAUUUCUCCUAAGAAAAUGUGGCUACCUGAAAUUCAACUCCAUUUUCUGGUCUUCAAUAUUUCUUUUGUGUUCAGUUUGCCAGCUGAGGAGAAGUGGCUAAGCAUAGCCUGUUACUGAUGCUAAAGCCCAAGUUCUGAACCUAACAACUCCAGCAACAUGAUCCUGUUUCAAGAGACAAAAAAGUGACUAAUGAAAGAAAACAAUUGAUGUGCUAUGUAGAGUUUAAAAGAAGGUAAAGAGAAUAAAUUAAAAGCAACAA
rnacentral:lncRNA from 1 species